rnacentral:rRNA from 1 species
GGUUAAGCGACUAAGCGUACACGGUGGAUGCCCUGGCAGUCAGAGGCGAUGAAGGACGUGCUAAUCUGCGAUAAGCGUCGGUAAGGUGAUAUGAACCGUUAUAACCGGCGAUUUCCGAAUGGGGAAACCCAGUGUGUUUCGACACACUAUCAUUAACUGAAUCCAUAGGUUAAUGAGGCGAACCGGGGGAACUGAAACAUCUAAGUACCCCGAGGAAAAGAAAUCAACCGAGAUUCCCCCAGUAGCGGCGAGCGAACGGGGAGGAGCCCAGAGCCUGAAUCAGUGUGUGUGUUAGUGGAAGCGUCUGGAAAGGCGCGCGAUACAGGGUGACAGCCCCGUACACAAAAAUGCACAUGCUGUGAGCUCGAUGAGUAGGGCGGGACACGUGGUAUCCUGUCUGAAUAUGGGGGGACCAUCCUCCAAGGCUAAAUACUCCUGACUGACCGAUAGUGAACCAGUACCGUGAGGGAAAGGCGAAAAGAACCCCGGCGAGGGGAGUGAAAAAGAACCUGAAACCGUGUACGUACAAG